UAGGCAUGGUGAUCUUUACUGUAAGCAUGGCGUGCUUUACUAUAGACAUGGUGUUCUUUACUGUAAGCAUGGUGUUCUUUACUGUAAGCAUGGUGUUCUUUACUGUAGACAUGGUGUGCUUUGCUGUAGACAUGGUGUGCUUUACUGUAGGCAUGGUGUUCUUUACUGUAGGCAUGGGGUUCUUUACUGUAGGCAUGGUGUUCUUUACAGUAGACAUGGUGUGCUUUACUGUUGACAUGGUGUGCUUUACUGCAGGCAUGGGGUUCUUUACUGUAGGCAUGGUGUUCUUUACAGUAGACAUGGUGUGCUUUACUGUAGACAUGGUGUUCUUUACAGUAGACAUGGUGUGCUUUACUGUAGGCAUGGUGUUCUUUACUGUAG
ensembl:lncRNA